rnacentral:rRNA from 1 species
GAUGAACGCUGGCGGCGUGCCUAAUACAUGCAAGUCGAGCGAACAGACGAGGAGCUUGCUCCUCUGACGUUAGCGGCGGACGGGUGAGUAACACGUGGAUAACCUACCUAUAGGACUGGGAUAACUUCGGGAAACCGGAGCUAAUACCGGAUAAUAUAUUGAACCGCAUGGUUCAAUAGUGAAAGACGGUUUUGCUGUCACUUAUAGAUGGAUCCGCGCCGCAUUAGCUAGUUGGUAAGGUAACGGCUUACCAAGGCAACGAUGCGUAGCCGACCUGAGAGGGUGAUCGGCCACACUGGAACUGAGACACGGUCCAGACUCCUACGGGAGGAAGCAGUAGGGAAUCUUCCGCAAUGGGCGAAAGCCUGACGGAGCAACGCCGCGUGAGUGAUGAAGGUCUUCGGAUCGUAAAACUCUGUUAUUAGGGAAGAACAAAUGUGUAAGUAACUAUGCACGUCUUGACGGUACCUAAUCAGAAAGCCACGGCUAACUACGUG